UACGAAGGGUGCAAGCGUUGUUCGGAUUUAUUGGGCGUAAAGCGCGCGUAGGCGGACCUUUAAGUCAGAUGUGAAAUCUCGGGGCUCAACCUCGAAACUGCGUCUGAAACUGGAGGUCUAGAAUCUUGGAGGGGGAAGGGGAAUUUCUCAUGUAGGGGUAAAAUCCGUAGAUAUGAGAAGGAACACCAGAGGCGAAGGCGCCUUCCUGGACAAGUAUUGACGCUGAGGCGCGAAAGCGUGGGGAUCAAACAGG
rnacentral:rRNA from 1 species